GACGAACGCUGGCGGCGUGCUUAACACAUGCAAGUCGAACGGAAAGGCCCUGCUUUUGUGGGGUGCUCGAGUGGCGAACGGGUGAGUAACACGUGAGUAACCUGCCCUUGACUUUGGGAUAACUUCAGGAAACUGGGGCUAAUACCGGAUAGGAGCUCCUGCUGCAUGGUGGGGGUUGGAAAGUUUCGGCGGUUGGGGAUGGACUCGCGGCUUAUCAGCUUGUUGGUGGGGUAGUGGCUUACCAAGGCUUCGACGGGUAGCCGGCCUGAGAGGGUGACCGGCCACAUUGGGACUGAGAUACGGACCAGACUCCUACGGGAGGCAGCAGUGGGGAAUAUUGCACAAUGGGCGGAAGCCUGAUGCAGCAACGCCGCGUGCGGGAUGACGGCCUUCGGGUUGUAAACCGCUUUCGCCUGUGACGAAGCGUGAGUGACGGUAAUGGGUAAAGAAGCACCGGCUAACUACGUG
rnacentral:rRNA from 1 species